rnacentral:rRNA from 1 species
CCUACGGGAGGCAGCAGUGGGGAAUAUUGCACAAUGGGGGAAACCCUGAUGCAGCAACGCCGCGUGAAGGAAGACGGUUUUCGGAUUGUUAACUUCUGUUCUUAGUGAAGAAUAAUGACGGUAGCUAAGGAGCAAGCCACGGCUAACUACGUGCCAGCAGCCGCGGUAAUACGUAGGUGGCAAGCGUUGUCCGGAAUUACUGGGUGUAAAGGGAGCGCAGGCGGGAAGGCAGGUCAGCUGUGAAAACUCCGGGCUUAACUUGUAGACUGCAGUUGAAACUGGUUUUCUUGAGUGAAGUAGAGGGAGGCGGAAUGCCGGGUGUAGCGGUGAAAUGCGUAGAUAUUCGGAGGAACACCGGUGGCGAAGGCGGCCAACUGGGCUUUAACUGACGCUGAGGCUCGAAAGUGUGGGGAGCAAACAGGAUUAGAUACCCCAGUAGUC